UACAGAGGUGGCAAGCGUUGUUCGGAAUUACUGGGCGUAAAGGGUGCGUAGGCGGUCUUUUAAGUUCCGUGUGAAAUCCCUCGGCUCAACUGGGGAACUGCACGGGAAACUGGAAGGCUUGGGUUCGGGAGAGGGAAGCGGAAUUCCGGGUGUAGCGGUGAAAUGCGUAGAUAUCUGGAGGAACACCGGUGGCGAAGGCGGCAUCCUGGACCGAGAUCGACGCUGAGGCGCGAAAGCUAGGGGAGCAAACGGG
rnacentral:rRNA from 1 species